rnacentral:rRNA from 1 species
GUGGGGAAUUUUGGACAAUGGGCGAAAGCCUGAUCCAGCCAUGCCGCGUGCAGGAUGAAGGCCUUCGGGUUGUAAACUGCUUUUGUACGGAACGAAAAGACUCUUUCUAAUAAAGAGGGUUCAUGACGGUACCGUAAGAAUAAGCACCGGCUAACUACGUGCCAGCAGCCGCGGUAAUACGUAGGGUGCGAGCGUUAAUCGGAAUUACUGGGCGUAAAGCGUGCGCAGGCGGUGAUGUAAGACAGUUGUGAAAUCCCCGGGCUCAACCUGGGAACUGCAUCUGUGACUGCAUUGCUGGAGUGCGGCAGAGGGGGAUGGAAUUCCGCGUGUAGCAGUGAAAUGCGUAGAUAUGCGGAGGAACACCGAUGGCGAAGGCAAUCCCCUGGGCCUGCACUGACGCUCAUGCACGAAAGCGUGGGGAGCAAACAGGAUUAGAUACCCUAGUAGUCC